rnacentral:tRNA from 1 species
AGUAGCUCAGUUGGUAGAGCAUCAGCUUCCCAAGCUGAGGGUCGCGGGUUCGAGCCCCGUUU